rnacentral:lncRNA from 1 species
CCGAUGGCCGACCAUAUCCCUUCGAGGUGAAAGCCUCGUUGAACCAAGCUGUACAUGUGCUUUACGCGUGGGUCAGAUGGUUUUUUUUUACCGAGCCCAACCUGGCCGAAAAACUGGAGUUUCGGGACUCGGAAUCGAAUCUGGAUGCCGCCAGACGAUGAGCGGAGGAUGGCGCCAAACCAUCCAUUUACAUAGAUGGAAAAUUUCCGUUAACUUGAAAAAAUAUUUAUUAAAUAGGCUUUUGAAAGAAAAAAUGACCACUAAGCACUAUUAUGGUGCAGAAAUAGCUAAUUUGAUGACAG